UCUAACUGUCAUAAUCGUUUAAGAUCAAAUUAUGCCAUUCGUAGUCUCUCUUAUUGUUUUCACAUUUUGUCAUCUUGGGACCUUUAAAAGCCUUUUUAAUGCAUGGGUUUUACUUAUUGGUAGUGGCCGUCGGGUAACCGAUAGUUCACAUUAGUUUCAUGUUGUUGGUUUUUGGUAAAUAGUCUCAUUGUAAAUCAUAACUCUACUU
rnacentral:lncRNA from 1 species